GCAGUAGCCGCGGGAACACGGAGGGCGCGAGCGUUACCCGGAUUUACUGGGCGUAAAGGGCGUGUAGGCGGCCUGGGGCGUCCCAUGUGAAAGGCCACGGCUCAACCGUGGAGGAGCGUGGGAUACGCUCAGGCUAGAGGGUGGGAGAGGGUGGUGGAAUCCCCGGAGUAGCGGUGAAAUGCGCAGAUACCGGGAGGAACGCCGAUGGCGAAGGCAGCCACCUGGUCCACUUCUGACGCUGAGGCGCGAAAGCGUGGGGAGCAAACCGGAUUAGAUACCCGAGUAGUCCCUGUCUCUUAUAC
rnacentral:rRNA from 1 species